rnacentral:lncRNA from 1 species
CAUUUUUCAUAAUCCAAUGGCCACGAACUGAUCUCAUACAUGGAUAAAAUUGUCCGAAAAUCCCUCAGUAAUCCUAGACCAAGCUCAUCUUCCUCGUACCUUUCUGUUGCACCACCGUCUGUCCCCGCCAGAAAUCGCCCACGGCGCCGGCGAAGCUCUAAUCAACCUCAAAUUUCUACACCAUAAGCCUCUCUUCUUCCCCGUUCCACUCCCAUCAUCAUCUUCUUCCAAAACCCAGCCCAAAUCUUCGAAUUUCAAAUCUAAAUAUUAGUGAAAAACUUUAGUCCGUCUAAAUCCUACAAAAUCGAUACCAAACGAUUCCUUGACCUCCCUUUCCAUGAUUCCUCGACUUAAAAUUCUUCGAGCCACUUUGAAGUUCAUCUAACAGUGGGUCAAGGGUGUUAUCAAUUUGGGGUAGCUUUGAAUAUUUUGGAGGUCGAGUCGAUUUUCCGUUAACGUUAUUUGCUUAUUUUGGGUUAAAUAAGCAAAUAACAUUAACCGAAUUUCGAUUCCGAUGGGGUUUUUCCGGGUGAAGUCUGUGUAAGUUUCUUAUUUAGUUUUUCUUGGUUUCAUUUGUUUGUCUUUGUUAGUUUUUGUGUAAUUCAUGUUCUCUCUGUCCUCUCACUUUAUUUCUAUUUAACAACUUUUUUAAAAUAAAUAAAAUUGAUUUAGUUAAGCUCAACCCUUUUGAUUGAUUAGAUGUAUUUCGGGAGUUUCUGUUUUGGUUCACCUCUUUGAUUCCUUGAUUAAUCCUUUGGUGCAAUUCUUUGUUUGGUCGAAGCCUGUUUUCCUUGUGUGUUCUUCUUUUCUUCUUCUGUUCAAGCAAUGUUCUAAUUUUGUUAGUUAGUUAAUCAAUUACUAAUUAGUCGUUUGUUUUAGUUAAUUUCAGUUGACUUUUGUUAGAUAACUCAUUUGGAUUAAUUUAAGUUAAGUGUUAGUUGUUUAGUAUUUGUGAGUAUUAUUUAGUUUCUUUGUUAGGUUGGAUGAAUUGGAUAUAGCUUAAUUUUAGUUAACUUGGGUUAAAAUCAUAGCUGGGGUAAGGGAGUUGGGCCAAUUAGCUUAGGUUGUAAUUUGCAGGGCAGUAGAAGGGCAUUUUAAGAAUGGAAAAUGGCAAUAUCUUUAGGAAAAGUAAAGUCAAGACAAUAAAGGGGUAAUAUAGGAAUUGCUUAGUCAAAAGAGCAUCCUAGAGGCUUCUAGAAUAGGGUACAAGUGUAGAUUUCAGCUUUUUAAUAGCACUUGCUUGGGUAGCAAGUUAGAAAUAGAAGGGUUAAAAUAAAAAGAAAGAGGGACUGAUUUGAAAACCCUACUGCUGAUUUUUCAUCUUUGUUUAUCUAUAAAAAUAAUCAUUUGCAUGAAAAGGGGUGUUCUGUUUUUUUAGCUAUAAAAAUCCCAGAGAAUUCCAGCCACCUGAAUGACAUUUUUCCUUUUCAUUUUUCAGUUUUCAAUUCGAAAUUCCAAGUACAAAACCCAAAAACAAUAGAAAAACCUAAAUAUACUAUUGUUCCAUUGCAUUUUUAGUUCAGUUUCAAGGUGUGGUGUGAAUUUGCAUAGCUUGGUUUCAAGUUCUGAUUUCCAAAGUUUCUGAUCAUGUUUGGGUGCCAUUUCGACUCAUUUUGGAUAUAUUCGAGCUAGCCUAGUUUUUUUCUGGGGUUCAUCUUCGCUUCUGGAAUUGAUCUGCUGGUUUUGAAUUUGGUGUUGAACAUUUUGAACCAUUCAAAUUGCAUCUGAGCUGCUGUUGUUUCCUGUUGCUGCGAUUUGUUGAUUUGAACUGCUGCUAACCAUCCUCUUUUCUUCUGUUACUUUGAACUUCCAGGUACUUCUUUGGCUAUGUAUGAACUAUGCCUAAUCAGUGUAGAUCUGACUUGAAGGAUUGUAUGUCAAAAUGAAGUUGAUUUGAUUUCCAAAGCUUAUCCUAUUUUGUCAUAGUUUGAAGGUGUAUAACUGUCAUGUUAUUAGAAACUAGGCCUCAUUUGUGUUAUUGGGAAUGCCUGAACCUGAUUGUUUUGAAUCGACAAAUCGUUUAUCAUGUCGUAUGAGUAUUCAUCUAGUAGCUUGUUAACAGAAAGUCGGCUCUUAGCAGAUUAGUUUGAAUAGUCGAAGUUAGAGUAUAGAAUUUCAAUAUGUUAGUUUAAAUGACAUUGUUUGUUUCGAGAUCAGUUGGUCUCUGUUAAUUCUUUGUUAUUAGAUCAUGUUAUCAGGUGCUAGUUUGAGACCAUAUUUGAAUUAGUGAUAUUGUUGGCCCAGUCAGUCAAUAAAUCAAAUAGGGCCAUUUGAAUGGAUUAUUGUUAGAUUCUGAAUGGGCUAGUGUAACACCUUUGAUUUGUGCAAAUAAUUGAUAAUAAAUGGCUACAAUUCGUUCUCUAACAGUAAGGAAGUAAUUGAAGAAGCUAGUGUUAAACUUGGAUUUUGAAGUAUAUGUUCUCUAACAGACAGGAAGUAAUUGAAGAAGCUAGUGUUAAACUUGGAUUUUGAAGUAUAUAAUAAUAGUUGCUCACUUGUAUUAAGUUCGGAAGCGAGGAAGCGGCAAACUGGCGUUUGGAUUGAUUGUGAAUGAAAGGCAUGGUAUGCCGUCCAAGUUCGAACUUGGGUCAUUGGCCUGCGUUUUUGCGUGGAAAUUGGGCCAACGUUUGGGCCCGACCCCUUUCAAUCGUUUAAGGUCUCAAUUGAUUUUUAAAAUUUGGGUUUUGAGUUAGAUAGCGGGUUUUAAACUAAAAGGCUCGUUCUUUUGUUUGGACCCGGAUUUGAACUUAAGGGCCGGAUUUUAAUAUAAUCAUUUAGGACCUUUCUUUCUUUAUUAGAAACCCAAAACCAAAAAUAGAAAAUAAAGUUAUUUUUAGGUUUAUCGUUUUAAAAUAAAUGAGACGAGCCUCGCAAAAUAAAAAUACAAAUUGCGGGGCCCUCAAUAAUGGUUUGAAAGAUAUUUUGAUAAUUGGGAAGGGCCGUUUAGCGAAUUUCACGGCCCUCCCAAAAGAAUACAACGCGUUAGACUCUAUUAGGCACGACUUUAAUAAAUUAUAUCCCUAAAUACGGGUAGGAAUUUUAUGCGACCCAAAUUUAAAUCCUAAAACGUUGAAUAGAGUGUGCCUAAGAUUGCGGGUUCAUUUGAUGCGGUGCAAUCCGAAUACACGCUUUAUACGACGUUCACUUUCUCCAAUAAAUAUUAUGUUGAAUAAAAGCGGUAAAAAGUAAAAAUUGGCACAUAGGCAUAUCAUGUAUAAAAAUUAGAUUUUAGCCAUUCAUAGAAAUUUAAGCGACCGUGCUAGAACCACGGGAUCCGAGGGUGCCUAACACCUUCCCUCGGGUUAAUGGAACUUCUGGUUCGCAGACUCCAUUCGGAACUCGAAAUUUUCCUCGGUUCGGGAUUCAAGAAAAUUGGUGACUUGGGACACCAAAAACCAGCCUUUCCCAAGUGGCGACGUUGAAUAAAUAAAUAAUCUCGAUCCGAAUAAUGUCACUUUAAAAUGGAAAAACUCCCUUAUACAUUAUCCUUCGGGGUAGGUGUGUAAAAAGAAGGUGUGACAGCUCUGGCGACUCUGAUGGGGACAUGAACCUAGAACGUUUUGUUCAGGGUUCAGAAUUUGAGCUUAGAAUAUUUGUUAUGUUUAGCUUUAUCUGAUUCUGUUACAUGAUAUGUGCUUAAUGUGCUAAUUGAUUGCUUUUACCGCUUUCAUAUUACGUGAACUGUAUAUAAACUGUGCCGAAUGUUAUGUUUAGCUUUAUCUGAUUCUGUUACAUGAUAUGUGCUUAAUGUGCUAAUUGAUUGCUUUUACCGCUUUGGUAUUACGUGAACUAUAUAUAUACUGUGUCGAACCAAAUCUCCUCCCUGAGUCUUCUGAAUUGUGAAGAAAGGUGUACGACGUACGACUUCUUUUCUGUCUAGUGUCCAAUACCAAUUUAGAACGAGGUUUGGAAAAGUCGCAAAGCCGGGGAAGCUUCUGUAUUCCCGGAUUGCCGCCUCCCCCUCGGCUCGAGUUAUCCGCUCGGGUAAGCUAGGUCUAGAACAAAUACCCAGGUUUUGAACCUAGAAUAACUCAGCCUCAUGCCGGACCCCUAGUAGGAACGUUUAUUUGCAUCAUGUGCAUUUUGACUUAGGAGACUCAAUACAGGGGUUGGGUCCGUCUAGGGCUAGCAACCUGAAAUGAAAAGACCAUCCUGAUACAUCCUACUUGUUUUCUAUGCAUUUAUUUGCUAGGGCUUGCAUGUUGACCGCCUUUUUUGAAUCUUGGAGAUGUUAGAAAAAUGAGAAAAAUAGAAAGUCGGAGAGUUAACUGAUUAAUUUAGAAAAACCCAAUGUCCAAAUGCUAUCUGAACUCUUCCGGAAUUUUGAAAAUUGGAAGAAAGAAAACAUGUUUUUAAGUAUGUUUACCAAAGAUCAAAAAUGGUUUGAAAAAGAUUUUGUCUCAAAAUUAGUUAGCUUAUUUGGAUGAACUACGCCGGUUUGAUUCUCACAGGGCGUGGGAUACGUAGGCAACCCUCAUCGGGUCCAACCUUUCCCUUUUUAAAAAAUAACCAAAAAUUCCAAGAUUUUCAACUUUUUGUCUAAGUCAGGUGAAGUCGUUUGCACAAAAAUAGCCAAAUGUUCCCAAACGGAACACCGGAAGGCUGACCUUGCAUAAAUAGCCACCUUUGAUCUCAUUUUGAUUUUUUUUGACCCUCACAGAAUUCAGUUCUCAUCCACGAGGCAUUGAAAGGUCGUGUUGGCAAUAGUCGGUCGCUUAUUUUGAAAAAAAGGGGAAAAGAGAGUUGUAAAUAAGUCAAGUAAGGUCGUUUUGUCAUAAACAACCGAAUGUUCCCGAAAGGAACGCCGGAAGGCUGAAUUUGCAUAAACGGUCGUUUUUUGUCAAUUGUGAUUUUGACUGGUUGACUACACAACCUUAAAAUCUUUUUUGCGAAGUGCUGAAAUGACGUGUUUGAAAAUCGAGUCUUUUCCAAUUUGAAAACACACAAACAACAUAUAGAAAGUUUUACCUUUUUGAGUUGAAUAAGGUUUCUCUUUUGCUUAAUCGCCUUAAUAAAUGUGCAGGAUGAGCACAAAUCAAAUUGAACCAUUCUCAGUCUUUAGCAAGGUCCCUCUAAAGCUCCACAUAGGGUGGAAUGAUUUGGGAGAUGAUAGUAAAAACAGUGGAAAGAAUUUUAGGAGGUCUCGUCAGUCUCUUAUAUAUCAAGCCAAGAACAGAUGUCAUUGAAGCGUUAAUACCGUUCAGGGAUCCAACCCGUAAUGUAUUCCGCUUUAUAGACUUUGAGCUUACACCUACACUAGAGGAGGUUGCGGGUUAUACAGGUUUAGAUGGAAAAUUGAGGAGAAAUAUUUGCUUUCACCUAGACCGGUGUCUCCACAUGGGUUUUUGAAUUUGCUACACAUUAAUCGGAAGGUGCAAGAUGACGAUUUCUCAAAAGGUUAUUGUGCUCUUGAAUUUUUAUAUCAGCGGUAUGGUACUCCUCGGGGUUUUGAAGAACCGAAUCUCGGAAUGACUCAUGACGGGGACAGAAACAAGUGGGAGGCAAAGCCAAUGGUGUUGUCGAAGCAGCGAACAAACUCAAAAGGUUAUUGUGCUCUUCAAUUUUUAUAUCAGCGGUAUGGUACUCCUCGGGGUUUUGAAGAACCGAAUCUCGGAAUGACUCAUGACGGGGACAGAAACAAGUGGGAGGCAAAGCCAAUGGUGUUGUCGAAGCAGCGAACAAAAACAUCAAGAAGAUUUUGAGAGAGACAAUCCAAAGCUGUAAGCAGUGGCAUGAACAAUUACCUUUUGCCUUACUAGGAUAUCGCACUACAGUGCGCACAUCGGUAGGAACAACUCCAUAUCUGUUAUUCUAUGGAACUGAGACUGUGAUCCCAGCAGAAGUGGAAAUCUUUUCGCUUUGGACAAUUGUUGAAGCAAAAAUUGAAGAUAGUGAGUGGGUUAAAACUCGAUUGGAAAAAUUGACAUUGAUCGUUGAGAAAUAGAUGGCUUCCGUUUGUCAUGGGAAAUUGUAUCAACAAAGAAUGGCUCGCGCCUAUAAAAAGAAAGUACGACCUAGGAAAUUUGAAGUGGGGCAAUUAGUGUUAAAACACAUUCUUCCUCAUCAUCACGAAGCCAAAGGCAAAUUUGCUCCUGACUGGAAAGGUUCGUAUAUCAUCAGGAAGAUACUAGCAAGAGGAGCAUUAUACCUAGGCGAUAUAGAAGGGAAUGAUCCCGAAGCAGCGGUGAAUGCGGAUGCAGUUAAAAGGUACUAUUUCUAAACUUGCUUCGAGGACGUCUUUGUGCAACUCAAAUGAAGAUGGCUUUUAUUCACACUAUCUCUAACUCCAUCAAUCCCUUGCAAACGUUUUGAGUCGGUUACCUUUCCUUGAUUACCCUAUUUGGAACCCAGAAGUACAAAACGAAAAGAAAAGCAAAAAAAUGAAAAAAAGGAAAAGAAGAAAAGAAAAGAAAAACAAAACUGAAACAAAAAAACAAAAUAUCUCCUGAACUACGUUUGACUUGAUUCCAAAAGGAUACGUAGGCAGCUUCUCCCUGAGGUUCAGUCACACCAAAACAAAAAUUCCAAUUCCCCCAAAAAGUGAAACUGGGCAGAUAAUAUAAUGGUUCGGCGAAGAGACUGCCGAAUGGUUCCAAUGUUGUAGUUCCGCCCAAAACCCUUUUACCCUAAAGACCUUGUCCAAGUCCUUCUGAUCAAUUGGCAAAGACAUGAAAGUGGGAAAUGUCAUUUUUGGAAUCUGAUACAAUUCAAAUUGAGAGACACAAAAUGAGAGAGUCGUAUCAGUGAAAACCUUCAGGCGCCAUAAGGCGACGGUGAGUAGAGAAAAUAAAAAUGAGAGAGUCUGCUUAGUGAAAACUCACAAAGAGCACUAUCGGGCGACAGUGAGAAGAAAAAUGAGAGAGGUUGAAAUGGCGAAAACCCGCAAAGGGCGCUGUCGACCGAAAAGAGGAUACUUCAUCACUAAAAGUCCAGGAAAGGUUCCCAAGUUUGGAAAUAUAGGUCAAUGGGUUCAUGAGAAGUUGGAAGUUGGUGCGGGUUGGGCAUCCAGUCCAAGAAGACUGUCAUGUUCAUUUGGAGCCAGCAUGCACCCCAGAUAAGUCCUUCUUUCCCCCCGAAAGGGACGCUUCUCUUUAAACUCAUAUGUUUGCCUUUUGCAUACUUUUCUUUAAAUCCCUUUAGGUUUAACUUUUAUUCCUUAACAAUUACAAAGAAAAGGUGGCAUGACUGGUUUCACAGGGCUCCGCCUGGCAAGAGUAAUAGAAAAUACUCAGCCUCAGUGGUGCGCUAGUCCAAUCCCGACAAACCAUGGUGGUUGAUUGCCUUCAAAGUGAAAGACAUUAGAAAAGAAAGAAAAAUCAAAGGCAAAGAUCUUGAAAGUAGGAUAAAGUAAAAGGACAGAGCCCACAUGGACGAGUCAUCAUAAAACCAUAAGGCUGAACCUGGUCAGUGUAAAAGAAAGUCACCCUCAAAUCCAAACAAGCAAAAAAGUUCUCAAUGGAAAUAGGGUAGGGAUCAAGCGAUGGAGAUGAUCAAGGCCACAAACCAACCACUGUUUCAACUAACAAGUCGUUCUUUGUUGAAAACAGGUCUUAUUCAAAACAGCUUUACAAGAAGCAGAUGCAACCAAAAAAAAAAAAUGCGCGAGUGCUGAAAUAGCUCUGCAGCAGGAUAAACGACCAAAAGAAAGUUUUCUCAAACAUUCUUUCAUGCAUUCUGUUAAAUAAAAAUAAUAACAUAUAAAGAGAAAACCCAAAGAAAAGAAAGAAGAAAAUGAAUAGAAAAUGAAAUUCCAAAAAGUAAACAAAUCAUGGUAGCUUAGAAGAUCUCACUACUUGAAAUAUCCCGACCAAAAAAUCGAGGAUCUCCCGGCCAAAAAACCGUGGAGAUUUUUCUAUCCAAAUCCUGGCCAAAACACCGAGAAUCUCCCGGCCAAAAAACCGUGGAGCUUUUUCUAUCCAAAUCCCGGCCAAAAAACCGAGGAUCUCCUUGCCAAAAAACUAUGGAGCUUUUUCUUUUCCAAAUCCCGGCCAAAAAAUUGAGGAUCUCCCAGCCAAAAACCGUGGAGCUUUUUCUUUUCCAAAUCCCGGCCAAAAACCCGAGGAUCUCCCGACCAAAAAAUCGUGGAGCUUUUUCUAUCCAAUUCCCGGCCAAAAACCCGAGGAUCUCCCGGCCAAAAAAUUGUGGAGCUUUUCCUAUCCAAAUCCUUGCCAAAAAAUCGAGGAUCUCCCAGCCAAAAAACCGUGGAGCUUUUUCUUUUCCAAAUCCCGGCAAAAAAAUUGAGAAUCUCCCGGCAAAAAAGUCGUGGAGCUUUUCUAUCCAAAUCCUGGCCAAAAACCCGAGGAUCUCCAGGCCAAAAAAUCGUGGAGCUUUUUCUAUCCAAAUUUCGGCCAAAAUAUCGAGGAUCUCUUGGCCAAAAAACCGUAAAGCUUUUUCUUUUCCAAAUCCCGGCCAAAAAUCAUGGAGCUUUUUCUAUCCAAAUCCCGGCCAAAAACUCGAGGAUCUCCCGGCCAAAAAACCGUGGAGCUUUUUCUAUCCAAUUCCCGGCCAAAAACCUGAGGAUCUCUUGGCCAAAAAACUGUCGAGCUUUUUCUAUCCAAAUCCCGGCCAAAAAAUCGAGGAUCUCCUGGCCAAAAAUCCGUGGAGCUUUUUCUUUUCCAAAUCCCGGCCAAAAACCUGAAGAUCUCCCGGCCAAAAAACCGUAGAGCUUUUUCUAUCCAAAUCCCGGCCAAAAACUGAGGAUCUCCCGACGAAAAAUUAGUGGAGCUUUUUCUUUUCCAAAUCCCGGCCAAAAAACUGAGGAUCUCCCGGAUAAAAAACUGUGGAGCUUUUUCUAUCCAAAUCUCGGCCAAAAACCGAGGUUCUCCUAGCCAAAAAGUCGUGGAGCUUUUUAUAUCAAAAUCCCGGCCACAAAACCGAGGAUAUCCCGGCCAAUAAUCCAUGGAGAUUUUUCUUUUCCAAAUCUCGGCCAAAAAACCAAGGAUCGCUUGCCCAAAAUACAUUGGAGAUUUUUCUAUCCAAAUCCCGGUCAAAAAACCGAUGAUCUCCCGGCCAAAAAGCCGUGGAGCCUUUUCUUUUCCAAAUCCCGACCAAAAAACCAUGGAGCUUUUUCUAUCCAAAACCCGACCAAAAACCCGAGGGUCUCCCGGUCAAAAAAUCGUGGAGCUUUUUCUAUCCAGAUCCCGAUCAAAAAACCGUGGAGCUUUUUCUCUCCAAAACCCGACCAAAACCUGAGGAUCUCCCGCCCAAAAAACCAUGGACCUUUUCUAUCCAAAUCCCGGCCAAAAAACCGAGGAUCUCCCAGCCAAAAACUAUGGAGAUUUUGCUUUUUAAAAUUCCGGCCAAAGACCAUGGAGUUUUUGUUUUCCAAAAUCCGAUUGAAAAACCGAGAAUCUCUUGGCUCCGUAGAGCCUAUUCUAGUUUGAUUGUUGUAUGUGUCACAACUGACUCAUAAAAAUUUUCCUAGUAAAACUGGGGCAGAAAAAUUCUUUCGUUUGUUUGUUUUGGUACUUUUAAAUAAGUUUGACUGCAAAGCACAAGGUGCGACGUGACCGAAAGAAUGAGUCUCAAUCCAGAAUAAAGAAAAAGGGAAAAGAACAAAAGAAAUAACUGAAAGUGCUGAAGUGGAGAAGGACGCGAACUGAUCAAGAUAUGAUUAAAGUCACGGGCUUCGCAUGUCCCGCCUUGAUCCAAAGCUGAAGAAUGCACCAGCGGUAAUAGCUGACGAGCAUCAAGAUUCAGAUUAGAGUCUGCCUUAAGAACCAGCCAAUACUCAAGAUAAAGCUUCAAGAAAUUUAUAGAUAGGAAUCUUGUUACUCAUAACUUCACAACAAUGAAAUCACAACUUUUGAUAGUCCCAGAUACCAAACACUCCCGAACUACACUGACCUGAUUCCUGUUUAGCUCAGGAUAUGUAGGCAACCUCUGAAGCAGGGUGCGGUCAACCUUUUCAAAAAUGAUUCACAUGGAACUUUCAAACGGGCAAAAAUCGCUCGUAUUUGCUCACUUGUCUUUGCACGAAAACUCUUCGUGAUUCCGAGCAAAGAGUGGCAGCUGUGAGCACGUGAUUUUUCCCUACAUAUAAAUAAUUCCCAAAAAUUCAAAUAAAAUGAAUUUUUCUUAUUUUUACAAUUUGUGUGAAUUUUUGUCAUUUUCUGUUAUUUGUUUGCAUUUUAUUUGCGCGUGUUAAUUUUCAUGAAAAUACAAAAAUAUACAUUUAAAUUUUAGGAUUUAAUUCUGCAUUUUAGGAUUAAUUAUCAAAUUAGUUAUUUUUUAGAAAACAAAACGAAUGAAAAAUCAUCACAAAAAUAGUUUAUUUCGCACUUUUUAGUUUUAGUCUUGAAUUUUGAUGGUUUUUAUUUUAAUUGGAUUUUUAAUUAAUUAUGGUAUUUGGGGGUCAAUUAAUUCAAUUUGAUAGCUUAAUUUGAUUUUUAGUUUUAAUUUAGGUUUUUACUUUGGGGAAAAACAAGAAAAAGGAAUUAAAAGAGUUGGAAAUUAAAGAAAAGGAAAAGGAAGAAAAGGAGUAGGUUGCCCAAAUUGGGCCCAAAUAUGAUCAACCCAAGCAAAAUAAUCCGAGGUCCAACCCAAGCCCUUCACCUGGUCCAAAUGACCAUGCCAUCAAGACCAGCAAAACGACGUAGUAUAAGACAAAUACAACUUUGUUUUGAGUUAAGCAAAGGCUCAAUCAAUCCCAGCCAUUCAUUUCUCAUAAUCCAAUGGCCACGAACUGAUCUCAUACAUGGAUAAAAUUGUCCUAAAAUCCCCCAGUAACCCCGGACCAAGCUCAUCUUCCUCGUACCUUUUUGUUGCACCACCGUCUGCCGCCGCCGGAUAUCGCCCAUUGCGGUGGCGAAGGUCCAAUCAACCUCAAAUGUCUACCCCAUAACCCUCUCUUCUUCCCCGUUCCACUCCCAUCAUCAUCUUCUCCCAAAAACUAGCCCAAAUCUUCGAAUUUCAAAUCUGAAAAUUAGUGAAAAACCCUAGUCCGUACAAAUCCUACAAAAUCGAUACUAAACGAUUCCCUGACCUCCCUUUCCAUGCUUCAUGGGCUUAAAAUUCUUCGAGCCACUCUGAAGUUAAUCUAAUAGUGGGUAAAGGGUGUUAUCAAUUUGGGGAAGCUUUGAAGAUUUUUGAGGUCGAGUCGAUUUUUCGUUAACAUUAUUUGCUUAUUUUGGGUUAAAUAGGCAAAUAACAUUAACCGGAUUUCGAUUACGAUGGGGUUUUUCCGGGCGAAGUCUGUGUAAGUUUCUUAUUUAGUUUUUCUUGGUUUCCUUUGUUUGUCUUUGUUAGUUUUUCGUGUAAUUCAUGUUCCCUCUGUCCUCUCACUUUAUUUCCAUUUAACCAGUUUUUUAAAACAAAUAAAUUUUUUUAGUUAGGCUCACCCCUUUUGAUUGAUCAGAUGUAUUUCGUGAGUUUCUGUUGUGGUUCACCUCUUUGAUUCUCUGAUUAAUCCUUUAGUGCAAUACUUAGUUUGGUUGAAGCAUGUUUUCCUUGUGUGUUCUUCUUUUCUUCUUAUGUUCAAGCAAUGUAAUUUAGGUAAUCAAUUGCUAAUUAGUUGUUAGUUUUAGUUAAUUUCAGUUGACUUUUGUUAGAUAAACUCAUUUGGAUUUAUUUCAGUUAAGUGUUAGUUGUUUAGUGUUUGUGAGUAUUAUUUAGUUUCUUUGUUAGGUUGUAUGAAUUGGAUAUAGCUUUAUUUUAGUUAACUUGGGUUAAAAUCAUAACUGGGGUAAGGGAGUUGGGCCAGUUAGCUUAGGUUGUAAUUUUCAGGGCAGUAGAAGGGCAUUUUAGGGAUGGAAAAUGGCAAUAUCUUUAGGAAAAGUAAAUUCAAGACAAGAAAGGAGUAAUAUAGGAAUUGCCUAGCCAAAAGAGCAUACUAGAGGCUUCUAGAAUAGGGUACAAUUGUAGAUUUCAGCUUUUUAGUAACACUUGCUUGGGUAGCAAGUUAGAAAUAGAAGGGUUAAAAUAAAAAGAAAGAGGGACUGAUUUGAAAAUCCUACUGCUGAUUUUUCAUCUUUGUUUAUCUAUAAAAAGAAUCAUUUGCAUGAAAAGGGGGGUUCAAUGUUUUUUAGCUUUAAAAAUCCCAGAGAAUUCCAGCCACUUGAAUAUCAUUUUCCUUUUCAUUUUUCAGUUUCCAAUUCGAAAUUCCAAGUGCAAAACCCCAAAACAAUAGAAAAACCAAAGAAAAACCUAAAUAUAAUAGUGUUCCAUUGCAUUUUUAGUUCAGUUGCAAGGUGUGGUGUGAAUUUGUAUAGCUUUGUUUCAAGUUCUGAUUGCUGAAGUUUCAGAUCAUGUUUGGCUGUCAUUUCAACUCAUUUUGGGUAUAUACGAGCUAGCCUGGUUUUUUUCUGGUGUUGAUCUUCGCUUCUGGAACUGAUCUGCUGGUUUUUUUUGAAUUUGGUUUUGAACAUUUUGAACCAUUUAAACUGCAUCUGAGCUGCUGUUGUUUUCUAUUGCUUCGAUUUGCUGUUUUGAACUGCUGCUGACCAUCCUCGUUUCUUCUGUUACUUUGCACUUCCAGGUACUUCUUUGGCUAUGUAUGAACUAUGCCUAAUCAGUGUAGAUCUGACUUGAAGGAUUGAAUGCUAAAAUAGAGUUGAUUUGAUUUCCAAAGCUUAUCCUAUUUUUUCAUAGUUUGGAGGUGUAUAAUUGUCAUGUUAUUAGAAACUAGGCCUCAUUUGUGUAAUUGGGAAUGCCUUAACCUGCUUGUUUUGAAUCGACGAAUUCUUUAUCAUAUUGUAUGAGUAUUCAUCUAGUAGAUUGAUACCAGAAAGUCGGCUCUUAGAAGUUUAGUUUGAAUAAUCGAAGUUUGAGUAUAGAAUUUCAAUAUGUUAGUUUAAAUGACAUUGUUUGUUUCGAGAUCAGUUGGUCUCUGUUAAUUCUUUGUUAUUAGAUCAUGUUAUCAGGUGCUAGUUUGAGACCAUAUUUGAAUUAGUGAUAUUGUUGGCCCAGUCAGUCAAUAAAUCAAAUAGGGCCAUUUGAAUGGAUUAUUGUUAGAUUCUGAAUGGGCUAGUGUAACACCUUUGAUUUGUGCAAAUAAUUGAUAAUAAAUGGCUACAAUUCAUUCUCUAACAGUCAGGAAGUAAUUGAAGAAGCUAGUGUUAAACUUGUAUUUUUAAGUAUAUAAUAAUAGUUUCUCACUUGUAUUUGAUUGGCUAAAAACGACGAGUUCGAAGCGGCAAACUGGCAUUUGGAUUGAUUGUGAGUGAAAGGC